rnacentral:rRNA from 1 species
UACAGAGGUCCCGAGCGUUGUUCGGAUUCAUUGGGCGUAAAGGGUGCGUAGGCGGCUUGCUAAGUUUGAUGUGAAAUCCUGGGGCUCAACCCUGGACUGCAUUGAAUAGCUGGCAGGCUAGAGUACUGGAGAGGAAACUGGAAUUACGGUGUAGCAGUGAAAUGCGUAGAGAUCGUAAGGAAGACCAGUGGCGAAGGCGAGUUUCUGGACAGUUACUGACGCUGAGGCACGAAGGCCAGGGAGCAAACGGG